rnacentral:rRNA from 1 species
GGGUUGUGAGGUUAAGCGACUAAGCGUACACGGUGGAUGCCCUGGCAGUCAGAGGCGAUGAAGGACGUGCUAAUCUGCGAUAAGCGUCGGUAAGGUGAUAUGAACCGUUAUAACCGGCGAUUUCCGAAUGGGGAAACCCAGUGUGUUUCGACACACUAUCAUUAACUGAAUCCAUAGGUUAAUGAGGCGAACCGGGGGAACUGAAACAUCUAAGUACCCCGAGGAAAAGAAAUCAACCGAGAUUCCCCCAGUAGCGGCGAGCGAACGGGGAGCAGCCCAGAGCCUGAAUCAGUGUGUGUGUUAGUGGAAGCGUCUGGAAAGGCGCGCGAUACAGGGUGACAGCCCCGUACACAAAAAUGCACAUGCUGUGAGCUCGAUGAGUAGGGCGGGACACGUGGUAUCCUGUCUGAAUAUGGGGGGACCAUCCUCCAAGGCUAAAUACUCCUGACUGACCGAUAGUGAACCAGUACCGUGAGGGAAAGGCGAAAAGAACCCCGGCGAGGGGAGUGAAAAAGAACCUGAAACCGUGUACGUACAAGCAGUGGGAGCACGCUUAGGCGUGUGACUGCGUACCUUUUGUAUAAUGGGUCAGCGACUUAUAUUCUGUAGCAAGGUUAACCGAAUAGGGGAGCCGAAGGGAAACCGAGUCUUAACUGGGCGUUAAGUUGCAGGGUAUAGACCCGAAACCCGGUGAUCUAGCCAUGGGCAGGUUGAAGGUUGGGUAACACUAACUGGAGGACCGAACCGACUAAUGUUGAAAAAUUAGCGGAUGACUUGUGGCUGGGGGUGAAAGGCCAAUCAAACCGGGAGAUAGCUGGUUCUCCCCGAAAGCUAUUUAGGUAGCGCCUCGUGAAUUCAUCUCCGGGGGUAGAGCACUGUUUCGGCAAGGGGGUCAUCCCGACUUACCAACCCGAUGCAAACUGCGAAUACCGGAGAAUGUUAUCACGGGAGACACACGGCGGGUGCUAACGUCCGUCGUGAAGAGGGAAACAACCCAGACCGCCAGCUAAGGUCCCAAAGUCAUGGUUAAGUGGGAAACGAUGUGGGAAGGCCCAGACAGCCAGGAUGUUGGCUUAGAAGCAGCCAUCAUUUAAAGAAAGCGUAAUAGCUCACUGGUCGAGUCGGCCUGCGCGGAAGAUGUAACGGGGCUAAACCAUGCACCGAAGCUGCGGCAGCGACGCUGAUGCGUUGUUGGGUAGGGGAGCGUUCUGUAAGCCUGCGAAGGUGUGCUGUGAGGCAUGCUGGAGGUAUCAGAAGUGCGAAUGCUGACAUAAGUAACGAUAAAGCGGGUGAAAAGCCCGCUCGCCGGAAGACCAAGGGUUCCUGUCCAACGUUAAUCGGGGCAGGGUGAGUCGACCCCUAAGGCGAGGCCGAAAGGCGUAGUCGAUGGGAAACAGGUUAAUAUUCCUGUACUUGGUGUUACUGCGAAGGGGGGACGGAGAAGGCUAUGUUGGCCGGGCGACGGUUGUCCCGGUUUAAGCGUGUAGGCUGGUUUUCCAGGCAAAUCCGGAAAAUCAAGGCUGAGGCGUGAUGACGAGGCACUACGGUGCUGAAGCAACAAAUGCCCUGCUUCCAGGAAAAGCCUCUAAGCAUCAGGUAACAUCAAAUCGUACCCCAAACCGACACAGGUGGUCAGGUAGAGAAUACCAAGGCGCUUGAGAGAACUCGGGUGAAGGAACUAGGCAAAAUGGUGCCGUAACUUCGGGAGAAGGCACGCUGAUAUGUAGGUGA